rnacentral:rRNA from 1 species
AUACAUCGCGCCCAAGCAAACCCCAUUCCACGGGCCGGAUUCCCCACCACUUACCCACCCCAAACCCUAGGUUUCCCAUGGUGCAAGCCGCACCCAGCUCCGCCACCGCCGCCCCCGCCCCCGACGCUGACCCCGCCACCCCGCCGUCCCGUCUCCUCUCGAAACAUCGCCCGCGACGCCGUGCAGCGCCCCCCCGCCCGACCUUGCCGCACCCCGCGCCCACGCGCGGCCUGCCCGAUCUGAACCGCUGCCACUGCUGCUCCGUUCGCUUCCAGCAGCCGGCGCCGGGCGCCAAGCGACGUCCACUCCGUCCCCUCCGCUCCCUCUGGCGCGUCGUCCUCCUCUGCUCUGAAUGUAUCUCCCUCCUUCGCUCUGGCGCCGUCUGCUCCUACUGCCUCAACCUCGACAACCUGCCGCACGAUGACUCGGUCACCUGCCGCAGCUGCAACUGCUGCGUCCACCACCACUGCAUCCCCGCUGAGCACCGUACUGCCCUGAUCCAGCCUGUAGAUUUGGAGAAUUUCGUCUGCAUCGAUUGCUGCCCCACAGUGAAGGUGGGUAGCAAGAAUGAGGGCGCCGAAUCCGUUCCUAAGCUGGAGUUGGUCAUCAGAGAGCCUAGUCCUGCAUUGCGGAGGAAGGGGGGGCCUGUCGCUGCUGCUAAGUUGAAUUCGCCGAGGAAGGUUGUGGAGGAGGUGAGGCCAGCUUGGAAGGAUGCGAUGGCCCUCGUUCCUGUAGGCGAGGGGUCAGAGAGCGAGGGUCCCGGCGAUCGGGACCUGCCAGACGAGGCAUUGGCGCUGCAGCUUCAUUUGGCGAUCAACGGGUCACUGAGGAUUUCACGUUCUGGCAGUGCAUCUGUGUCUGUCUUGGCAGGGCAGUGCAAGAGGCAGGCCAAGAGGCAGAAUGGAUUGGUUUACGGAAGGAAGGUUAAUGAGGAUCUGGGACUUUGUGUAACCAAUAUGAUGGAUCAUCUGGACUAUCUUGAGACCGGAGCAGAGAUGGGAAGCAACUGGAAUGCUAGUCAGGAUUUAGGAUCUGAUCCCACAGUCCCUGUGGUUCUUGCACUGGAGUGUAAAGGUAAACACCCUCAGGAGAGUCCGAGAGGUGAAAGGAAAGGUCUUCCUGAGACUAAACAACAUAAUAGUUUGGUGGAUUGGCAUAAGGUGGAUCGGUAUGAGAAGAAGUAUAGCAAGAGGAAGUCAAGUAAGCAGACAGAUGCUGAAAGCACUGGAAACAAGACCUUGCCCAAUGGAAAGGACAUGGAUGUUGGUGAAGGUGGUGAGGGCAUAACUCCUAUGACAUAGACUGCUGCUUCUUUUUGGAGGUAAUUCGUGAUAACAGUAGUUUGCAUCCAGCAAUACAGGAUUGAAGCUAGCAACAUGUUGGUGGCUUUGAUAGCAGCUACAAUCAAAGUUAUAGCUCGUCGCCAUGUCUUCUUCCUGCAACUCAGCUUGUCACCGCCAUUUCCAAUCCUAGAUUGGCAAAUAGUCGUGGUCAAGGAAAGGGCUGCCACCACAGCCAGGCGUUUCACAAAUCCAAAGGCAGCACACGGUGAGAAGAUGACCUGGUAUCAUCAAAGGUGUGAGGACGUUGACGGGGUUUGGACUUGCAGAGGAUGGCAUUACAGUGGAUGCAGAUAAGAUGAUAAAAGGGCAAGCACAAAGCAAUCAGUGCCAUCAGGAAUUGCUAGCCGUUGCCUCAUUUGCUGUGACUGCAGUCUGUAGGUCUGGCCUAUAAUUUUUCUUGUCUGCAAUUUUAGGAACCUCCUACUCAUCUGGAUAAGAGGGCCAUCAAAAUCACGAUAUACAUAUCUGUGUGGUGAAUUUGAAAUUGUGUGUCUUACCAGCAGCACCGCCUGGACCUUUUAUAUCCGUCCAGGUUCAGAACUGGACAUGAGGUUCAUCCAAACGUUUGAGAACUGCAGGAGGUUAAUUAAAAUGGUUUUUGCAAAAAAGUUAACUGGUGGCGAGCAUAAUAAAAAAUGCUGAAAUGCAAAGUCUUGUUUGGCACAUAAGACGGCUAUCCAGAUUCCAGAGGCAAUAUUACUGCAUGAUGAUUUGAUUUGUUUCCCAAUCUUCAGACAUUGAGUUAGUGCAAACAUAUCGGAAAUUACACUAAUCUCAUUUUGUGAUUCUGAUACCGGACGAGGAACUCAGUUUGGACUAAUCUCACUUAUUUCCGCAUUGAUGGAUUUUCAGUUUUCCAAUAAUGUGAGCAAAUCAGGAUAGGCUAGUUCACUUCAGAAUGCUGGGAAAUAUUAGCAACCUGCUAUUACCAUCUACAGUAAUAGGCUAAUUAUGGGUCACUUGCUGUAAGCAUGUGUAAUUGGUGCCUGAACUCCUUUGAAGUGCUUCUAGCUUGUUCCUUUAAUUCUUCUUUUUUUGC